GGCUUAGAGUUUGAUCCUGGCUCAGAUUGGACGCUGGCGGCAGGCCUAACACAUGCAAGUCGAGCGGUAGAGAGAAGCUUGCUUCUCUUGAGAGCGGCGGACGGGUGAGUAAUGCCUAGGAAUCUGCCUGGUAGUGGGGGAUAACGUUCGGAAACGGACGCUAAUACCGCAUACGUCCUACGGGAGAAAGCAGGGGACCUUCGGGCCUUGCGCUAUCAGAUGAGCCUAGGUCGGAUUAGCUAGUUGGUGAGGUAAUGGCUCACCAAGGCGACGAUCCGUAACUGGUCUGAGAGGAUGAUCAGUCACACUGGAACUGAGACACGGUCCAGACUCCUACGGGAGGCAGCAGUGGGGAAUAUUGGACAAUGGGCGAAAGCCUGAUCCAGCCAUGCCGCGUGUGUGAAGAAGGUCUUCGGAUUGUAAAGCACUUUAAGUUGGGAGGAAGGG
rnacentral:rRNA from 1 species